rnacentral:rRNA from 1 species
CUGGUUGAUCCUGCCAGUAGUCAUAUGCUUGUCUCAAAGAUUAAGCCAUGCAUGUGUAAGUGCAAGCCGUACUAAGGCGAAACCGCGAAAGGCUCAUUACAUCAGUUGUGGUUCCUUGGACUGUACCCAGUUACUUGGAUAACUGCGGAAAAUCUGGAGCUAAUACAUGCCGACAGAGUCCCGACCAGAGAUGGGAGGGACGCUUUUAUUAGAUCAAAACCAGAAAUCCUCUUCGGAGGAGACGGUUUAAGAUGACUCUGAAUAACUUUGUGCCGAUCGCACGGCCUCCGCGCCGGCGACGCGUCUUUCAAAUGUCUGCCUUAUCAACUUUCGAUGGUAGGCUCUGCGCCUACCAUGGUUGUAACGGGUGACGGGGAAUCAGGGUUCGAUUCCGGAGAGGGAGCCUGAGAAACGGCUACCACAUCCAAGGAAGGCAGCAGGCGCGCAAAUUACCCACUCCCGGCCCGGGGAGGUAGUGACGAAAGAUAACGAUGCAGGACUCAUUCGAGGCCCUGUAAUCGGAAUGACUACAUUUUAAAUCUCUUAAGGAGUAUCAAUUGGAGGGCAAGUCUGGUGCCAGCAGCCGCGG